rnacentral:rRNA from 1 species
GACGAACGCUGGCGGCGUGCUUAACACAUGCAAGUCGAACGAUGAACCACUUCGGUGGGGAUUAGUGGCGAACGGGUGAGUAACACGUGGGCAAUCUGCCCUUCACUCUGGGACAAGCCCUGGAAACGGGGACUAAUACCGGAUACGACACUCUCGGGCAUCCGAUGAGUGUGGAAAGCUCCGGCGGUGGAGGAUGAGCC